AAACAAAAGCAAAUAUUUAUUUUAAAUGGAAGAGUUAACAUAUACAAGAAAAACAAAAACAAACAAACAAAGGAGAGAUUGCUCAGUGGUUAUGAGUAUUAAUGCUCUUGGAGAGGACCCUGAUUCAAUUCCAAAGUCCACAUGGUGAUUCACAACUUUCUGUAUCUUCAGUUUCAGAGGAUCCCACACGCUCUUCUGGUCUUAUUGGGCACUAGGCACACACAUGGAAUUCAUACCUAACAUGCAGGCAAAUCACUCAUACACAUAGACCUUUUAAAAUAGUAUAUGGAAAUAGCAUCUUUCCAUCAUUCAACUACUUGUAUGGCCAAUCUUGUUCCUCCUAUACCCUAGUCUUCUGCCCUGCUUCCACCAAAUACUCCUGAGCAGAUGCUAGAUGUCUUAGCUUUACGUGAAUAUUUCUGAAAGAUAUUCUUAUAAAGGCACAACCUUUGUCUGGUUAUCUUUUGCUAUCGACUAUAUAAAAGAUACAUGAAAAGUGUUUACAUACAUCGUUUGGGGAGGCAAAUAAUUUCCUUUGAAGAAAGUGCUACAUUGUCCAUGUUUGAAAACGAUCUUAGGACGUGCGGUGUUCAUACUGUAGUUAAAACUACACUAAAUCAUCUCUGGAGCUUGACUUCCAACUUGCAGAUCUUUGACUUAGCUUAAUGAACUUGGGACCUCUAAAGUUUUUUAAACUUUUGGAAAGAAAGGCAUGGCGAGGGAUUUCUUUUCCCCAUCAGGCCGAAGCAUGUUAAAACUUGUGUCCUUUCCUCCUGGGUGUACAAACUGGUAAGAUUACCACCAUGGGCUUUGUGAACAGGCCUGGAAGAGUCGCGUUUCGGGUCACGCCUGCUCUCGGCAGGCGGUCCAGGCCGGCUGGCUCCCUUGUGACCGACUGCACUGCCUGAGUCUUGCAGGCGACACUGGGCGUUCCCUCCCUUUCCGGCCUUGGACAGUUUUGUUUUGGAUCUUACUUCCCAGUCAAGGAGAGGCUCCCUGUUGACCAAAGGUUUCCCAGUCUCCUUGGGGUGGCCGGCUGCCAAGUUUCCUUAGUCCCAGUCUGCCAGGACCUGGGACUGCUGGAGAUCCUAGAAGGCCAGGACGCUGGACGCGAGGGGGCGUGGCCCUAUUAGCUCCGCCCCCCGGGCCUGCGGGUAGCUCGACUCCCGCCAGCCCCGGAGGCUCGCGCAGACUAAGCUCUGUACCAUUCCUUGCGAACGCUCGGACCCGGACAGGCUGCGCGCACGCGCACUCGGGAGCGACAGUCAGGCUCUCGCCCCGUGGUGGCGGCGGCCGCGCCUGCCGCUAGGUGGCGCAUGCGCCCUAGAGGGCGCGGGCGGUCUCUGGGAAGAAGGCGGCGGCGGCGAGAGGCGGGGGCGCCGUAGGGGCCGGUCCGUGUUUACACAGCGGCGGGCGGGUGCGGACGCGGAACCCGGCGCGGCGGCGGCGGCGGCGGCGGCGGCGGCAAGAUGGUCAUGGCGCAUUUCGUGGAGAAUUUCUGGGGGGAAAAAAAUAAUGGCUUUGAUGUACUGUACCAUAAUAUGAAGCAUGGACAGAUAUCAACUAAAGAACUAGCAGAUUUUGUAAGAGAAAGAGCUACAAUAGAAGAGGCAUACUCCAGAUCAAUGACAAAACUAGCGAAAUCUGCAAGCAAUUAUUCACAACUUGGAACAUUUGCACCAAUGUGGGAUGUAUUCAAAACAUCUACAGAGAAAUUAGCAAAUUGUCAUUUGGAUCUUGUUAGAAAAUUACAGGAAUUAAUAAAGGAAGUUCAGAAGUAUGGAGAGGAGCAAGUCAAGUCUCAUAAGAAGACUAAAGAAGAAGUCGCAGGGACUCUGGAAGCAGUCCAAGCCAUUCAGAAUAUAACUCAGGCACUCCAGAAGUCGAAGGAAAAUUACACUGCCAAAUGUGUAGAACAGGAACGUCUGAAAAAGGAAGGAGCUACACAAAGAGAAAUAGAAAAGGCAGCUGUUAAGUCUAAGAAAGCUACAGAUACUUAUAAACUUUAUGUGGAAAAGUAUGCAUUAACAAAAGCAGAUUUUGAGCAGAAGAUGACAGAAACAGCCCAGAAAUUUCAAGAUAUUGAAGAAACUCACCUCAUUCACAUAAAGGAAAUUAUCGGAUCCUUGUCAAAUGCUGUCAAGGAGAUCCACUUACAGAUCGGCCAGGUUCAUGAAGAGUUUAUAAAUAACAUGGCUAAUACUACAAUUGAAAGUUUGAUUCAGAAAUUUGCCGAGUCAAAAGGCACAGGGAAGGAAAGACCUGGUCUUAUUGAAUUUGAAGAGUGUGACCCUGCUAGUGCAGUUGAAGGCAUAAAACCAAGGAAAAGAAAGACUUUUGCUUUGCCUGGAAUAAUUAAAAAGGAAAAGGACGCAGAAUCUGUGGAAUGUCCUGAUGCAGAUUCGCUUAAUAUUCCAGAUGUAGAUGAAGAAGGUUUCAGUAUUAAACCAGAAGCAAAUCAGAAUGAUACCAAAGAGAACCAUUUCUACUCAUCCAGUGACUCUGACUCUGAAGAUGAAGAACCAAAGAGGUACCGGAUAGAGAUCAAGCCCGCGCAUCCAAAUAACUUGCAUCACACAAUGGCUUCUUUGGAUGAACUGAAAGUAUCCAUAGGGAAUAUAACAUUGUCCCCAGCAGUAUCUAGACACAGUCCAGUGCAGAUGAAUCGGAAUUCAUCUAGAAAGGGACCAAUGAUUUACUUGCUUGGGAUCCCCUGUUCGGAUCGUCGCUUGAGUCAUCUUCAGCUCCACUAACUUCGUCAUCAUCGGCCAGACCCACGACACCUCUCUCUUUAGGCACCCUUGUUCCACCUCCAAGGCCUGCUUCCAGACCAAAGCUUGCUUCAGGAAAACUGAGUGGGAUCAAUGAAAUACCCAGGCCAUUCAGCCCACCUGUAACUUCCAACACCAGCCCACCUCCUACUGCUCCCUUAGCCCGAGCCGAGAGCAGCUCCUCUAUCUCCUCGUCUGCCUCGUUGAGUGCUGCCAACACUCCAACAGUAGGUGUAUCACGGGGUCCCAGCCCGGUCAGCCUUGGAAACCAGGACACUUUACCUGUGGCAAUCGCCCUUACAGAAUCUGUCAACGCCUACUUUAAAGGAGCAGAUCCUACCAAGUGUAUUGUGAAGAUCACGGGAGACGUGACAAUAUCAUUUCCCAGUGGGAUUAUUAAAGUCUUCACCAGCAACCCCUCCCCAGCUGUGCUGUGCUUUAGGGUGAAGAACAUCAGCAGGCUGGAGCAGAUCCUUCCAAACUCCCAGCUUGUGUUCAGUGAUCCAUCACAGUGUGAUUCCAACACAAAAGAUUUUUGGAUGAACAUGCAAGCUGUUACUAUCUACCUCAAGAAGCUAUCAGAACAAAAUCCAGCUGCUUCUUAUUAUAAUGUAGAUGUAUUAAAAUACCAGGUAUCAUCAAAUGGCAUUCAGUCCACUCCUCUAAAUCUUGCAACCUACUGGAAAUGUAGUGCCAGCACCACAGAUCUGAGAGUGGAUUAUAAGUACAACCCAGAAGCUAUGGUCGCUCCGAGUGUGCUUUCCAACAUACAGGUGGUGGUUCCCGUGGAUGGAGGUGUCACAAAUAUGCAGUCCCUUCCUCCUGCAAUAUGGAAUGCAGAGCAAAUGAAAGCUUUUUGGAAAUUAUCUGGGAUUUCGGAGAAAUCAGACAGUGGAGGUUCUGGAUCCCUCAGAGCAAAAUUUGAUCUUUCAGAAGGACCCAGCAAACCUACAACACUGGCAGUGCAAUUCCUCAGUGAGGGCAAUACGCUCUCAGGAGUGGAUAUUGAGCUUGUGGGUACUGGCUAUAGACUUUCCUUAGUAAAGAAGCGCUUUGCCACUGGACGAUACUUGGCAGAUUGUUGAUGGACCCCGAAUGCGGUUUUCUCAAGGGAAUAGUGUGCACCUGCCACUCUGCCUCGCCUGUUCCUUCCAAACACUAUUUUUACUUGUAUGAUGUCUUUCAAAUUUGCUCUUUGAAAGCUGACUACAAACAUUAACUUGCACUUUCAAAGUGUCAUUGAAAGAAAUAGCACUGAAAUGACCUUGUACACAGUAAAUGAUCAAAUGCAAUAUUCUGGAAGCACAUUAAUUCAAAUUGUCACUAAAAUGAAGUCUAUUAUCUUCAGUGUCUGUGUUCUUAAAAAGGUUAGAAUGUAGUAACAAGCCUAACAUUUCAGGAGAGCAAGCACAGAAGUUAUUUAGCUUUCCAUAAGUAUUUAGACUCAGAGUUACCUUUGAAGUUUCGUAAGUUUUAUGUUGAAUAAAUAUAAACAGAACGUGAAUUUUUAGGCUUUGAAUGUUAACUCAGAGCUCAAUCUAAUUGAGUUAUGUGCCAUAAGGAAAUCAGACCAGAGUCCAAGUUGUAUGCAAACAAAAACCAUCCCUAUAAUUUUAUUCUCAUAAGCAUAUUAAUAAAGUGUAAAUGGUGUUUUAUAUGAUCUUUGAGAUUCUCAAGUGCAAUGUGUUUAAAAUAAGCUUACAAAGGACUGCAGAACAACUUACUUCUGCGUUAAUUAACUUUAUAGAAGUUGUGAUUGUUUUGAUGAAUUAAUGCUGUAGAUUUAAUUUAUUUUUAUAUGGACUACAUAAUGUGUGCCUUUUAAAACAAUAACAAAAACCAGAAAUGUGCCUCUCUAGUUUGUGUUAAUUAAUGUGCCUCACUUUCUCCUCACUCUGGAUCUUGUAUUCAGAUUCAUACAGUGCUCAAGCAUAUUUAAAAGAUAUUUGCAAUUUUUAAAAUACUUUUGGCUUGUAAUUGAGAAGAAAAUUCAAAAUAACUAAAAGAUAAUUUAUACUUAAAAAUCCUGUCUCAUUUCUUUAGUGAUGUACCGUAGCCACUAGAAAAACAAAUCAGCCUAAUGGAAUAUGUUUACUGGGAAUAAAAUUACCUUUAGAUAUUCAACAUUGACCUCAUUAUAAAUGCGUGAAGCAGACAAGCUCUGAAACUGUGGUGAUAAAUUGGUAACUGGUAUUUUAACUGUAAUUUAGCAUUUCCCUUGACCCUACUUAUCAAAGAGAAUUUACACAUUAUUGUGUUGUAAACACAAGUUUCCUAGCAUUUUAUAAAUAAUUUUUUGAAAAGAUUCAUUUUAGCAGUGAGAGAAGUACUGUCACUUGUUUUAUUUUAACAAUUAGAAAGUUGUCAGAUUCCCAUAUGGUAAAAAUAGGUCAAGUAUGUGAAGUGGUGAAGGAUUGGAUUAAGAGAUUCUGAAAAUGAACUGUUCAUACAGAGUAGUAGCUUUCUAGCAAAUUCCGAUUAACAAAAGAAAUAUAUGUUUUAGACAAAGUUUCAUAAUUUACAAAUGGGAAUUUAUGAUAAAUACCAACGUCUUUUUCAUUUUUCAUGGAAAUGAUAGCUUGUGUUAUAUCUGGUAAACCAUUAUAUAAAACACUAAUUUUGUUAAUUUUGUUAAGCUUUACAGAAAAUAAUAUCCCUAUUACUAGACAUUAAUAUAACGUCUUGCUAUACUAAACACAGCAGAAAUCUAUUCCUUUUCACAGUAUGUAAUACAAAAUGAGCAUUUUAUAGUCAGUGUUACUCCAAUUCUAAAUUUAGGUUUGACUUAGGUAGACAUAAGACAAUUUGAUCUUUACUAACUAGCAAAAUUAGAAUUUCUAACUCUUAUGUUCUUUAAAAUGCCAGUUACAAUUACACUUACUAAAAUCUGACUAAAUCUGCUUUUAUUGGGCAGUUGAUGCUUUAGUAUUUGAAGUUUGACACUGCUGCAAUGUCUGUUUUUAAUCAGGUGUUACCUUGAGAUGUUAAACUGCUUGGAAUGGUUAACCUUGUGCACUUUCUUAAUCCCCAUAGCCUUUAUACUGAGUGUCAACAUGCAAGUUUAUAUUGGGUACAGGUUACAAUUUUAAAGCCAUAUGAGUUUAUAGUGAUUCUUUUUUCCAUUUAAAAAUUCACUAAUGUUAAAAAAAAUUUAAAAAAAGAGGCCCAGUAGAUUCAGUGGGAGACUAUCUUAUCUAGCAAGCUGGUUCUUGCUUGUGUACAGUGAUAACUUUGUAGCUGCUUCUUUAACUAAGAAUUUGUAAACACAGAACUCUUAACACAUGUGAGCUUUUAAGGAUCGUUAUUUACUACUUUGGGUUGUAAUUAGAGCACAUCUAUCUUCCAAAAUUUUGUAAAUAUUUUUGAUUUUUUUCAUAACAUGUAAAUAUUACAUAAAAGUUGUAUUCCUAAUAAACAUGUAAUAUAUAAUUUA